UGGCAGAACGCAAGUGCAUUUUUUCAC
rnacentral:piRNA from 1 species